rnacentral:rRNA from 1 species
AACUUUCAGCAACGGAUCUCUUGGCUCUCGCAUCGAUGAAGAACGCAGCGAAAUGCGAUAAGUAAUGUGAAUUGCAGAAUUCAGUGAAUCAUCGAAUCUUUGAACGCACCUUGCGCCCCUUGGUAUUCCGAGGGGCAUGCCUGUUUGAGUGUCAUUAA